AGCGUAGGCGGGGGAAUAAGUUAGAAGUUUAAUGUAUGGGCUUAACCCAUAAUCUGCUUCUAAUACUGUUUUCCUUGAGUAUGGGAGAGGGAGAUGGAAUUCCAGGUGUAGCGGUGGAAUGCGUAGAUAUCUGGAAGAACACCAGCUGCGAAGGCGGUCUCCUGGCCCAAUACUGACGCUGAGGCUCGAAAGCUAGGGGGAGCAAACAGGAUUAGAUACCCUGGUAGUCCUAGCUGUAAACGAUGGACACUAGAUGCUGGAGGAGUCAAUCCUUUCGGUGUCGUAGCUAACGCGUUAAGUGUCCCGCCUGGGGAGUACGCUCGCAAGGGUGAA
rnacentral:rRNA from 1 species